rnacentral:rRNA from 1 species
AUUGAACGCUGGCGGCAUGCCUUACACAUGCAAGUCGAACGGCAGCACGGGUGCUUGCACCUGGUGGCGAGUGGCGAACGGGUGAGUAAUACAUCGGAACAUGUCCUGUAGUGGGGGAUAGCCCGGCGAAAGCCGGAUUAAUACCGCAUACGAUCUACGGAUGAAAGCGGGGGACCUUCGGGCCUCGCGCUAUGGGGUUGGCCGAUGGCUGAUUAGCUAGUUGGUGGGGUAAAGGCCUACCAAGGCGACGAUCAGUAGCUGGUCUGAGAGGGCGACCAGCCACACUGGGACUGAGACACGGCCCAGACUCCUACGGGAGGCAGCAGUGGGGAAUUUUGGACAAUGGGCGAAAGCCUGAUCCAGCAAUGCCGCGUGUGUGAAGAAGGCCUUCGGGUUGUAAAGCACUUUUGUCCGGAAAGAAAUCCUUGGCCCUAAUACGGUCGGGGGAUGACGGUACCGGAAGAAUAAGCACCGGCUAACUACGUG